GACAGAGGGUGCAAACGUUGUUCGGAAUUACUGGGCGUAAAGCGCGUGUAGGCGGCUAUGCAAGUCGGAUGUGAAAGCCCUCGGCUCAACCGGGGAAGUGCACCCGAAACUGCAAAGCUAGAGUCUCGGAGAGGAUCGUGGAAUUCUCGGUGUAGAGGUGAAAUUCGUAGAUAUCGAGAGGAACACCGAUGGCGAAGGCAGCUCGCUGGGACGGUACUGACGCUGAGACGCGAAAGCGUGGGGAGCAAACAGG
rnacentral:rRNA from 1 species